rnacentral:rRNA from 1 species
UACGUAGGGUCCGAGCGUUGUCCGGAAUUACUGGGCGUAAAGGGCUCGUAGGCGGCCAACUAAGUCAUACGUGAAAUCCCUCGGCUUAACCGGGGAACUGCGUCUGAUACUGGAUAGCUAGAGUUCGGCAGAGGGAAGCGGAAUUUCCGGUGUAGCGGUGAAAUGCGUAGAUAUCGGAAGGAACAUCAGUGGCGAAAGCGGCUUCCUGGACCAGAACUGACGAUCAGGCUCGAAAGCGUGGGGGAGCAAACAGG